GAACGUUCCAAGCAUCCUUUGGCGUGAGCUUAAAUGCUUCCCCAAUUCAUUCUGGACCUGGAAACCAGAAUGGAAGGGUUGGUGAUUGUUCUGACUUGCUGACAUGAUGGUACAAGAGUAAAGAUAUCGCCAGUCCAAGCACUGUCAUCUGAUUUUGGAAGGAGGCAUCAUUACAUCAAUUCAGUAAAGCCCUGCACCCCACAAAAGAGAUUCAAUUUCUCAGGUUAACCACUUCUGAGCAACCCAGAGUGGGAUAAAGAAACGGCUGCAAAGUGCUAUUCUGUUGUUAGGGGCCAGUCUCAUUCUUACUUCCAAUACUUGGAAAGGAACCCACCUCUACUGAGAGAAGGUCCUGAAAAAGAUGACUGGCACAGUGAAGAGAGAAAGACCCCACUAUGAGACUGUCCGGUUUGGCCAAUGUACAUGGCAGAGGGGCAUUGCUGGAUAGUAUACUAGUCCAUCCAACUCCUGCAAAACAAAGCAAUUCAUGGAAAUGCAAGAGAAACUAAAGACAUGGAAUUUUCCCUGCACAUCCUAUCUCAAACUUAAAGACAGUAUAAGGCAAGCUGCUAAACCAGCGUAGAGGGUGAGGCAGGUAAGGAAUUAACAAAGACUCAUGCAGACUUGCUGCAGGGCAGCUCAGAGUUACUCUCCUGUCAGACAUCCCCUAGGGAAAAGUCAGAAGAAAUGGUCUGGGUCUGAGCACUUCUUGCGUGA